rnacentral:rRNA from 1 species
CCUACGGGAGGCAGCAGUGGGGAAUAUUGCACAAUGGGGGAAACCCUGAUGCAGCGACGCCGCGUGAGUGAAGAAGGAUUUCGGUAUGUAAAGCUCUAUCAGCAGGAACGGGGCAAGACGGUGUCUGACUGAGAAGCCCCGGCUAAAUACGUGCAAGCAGCCGCGGUAAUAUGCAGGGGGCAAGAUUUUUCCGGAUUCACUGGGGGUAAAGGGAGCGUAGACGGGUGAGCAAGCCUGAAGUGAAAGGCCGGGGCCCAACCCCCGGACUGCUUUGGAAACUGUACGGCUGGAGUGCAGGAGAGGUAAGUGGAAUUCCGAGUGUAGCGGUGAAAUGCGUAGAUAUUAGGAGGAACACCAGUGGCGAAGGCGGAUUGCUGGACUGUAACUGACGUUGAGGCUCGAAAGCGUGGGGAGCAAACAGGAUUAGAUACCCGGGUAGUC